rnacentral:rRNA from 1 species
AUUGAACGCUGGCGGCAGGCCUAACACAUGCAAGUCGAGCGGAUGAAGGGAGCUUGCUCCUGGAUUCAGCGGCGGACGGGUGAGUAAUGCCUAGGAAUCUGCCUGGUAGUGGGGGAUAGCGUCCGGAAACGGGCGCUAAUACUGCAUACGUCCUGCGGGAGAAAGUGGGGGAUCUUCGGACCUCACGCUAUCAGAUGAGCCUAGGUCGGAUUAGCUAGUUGGUGGGGUAAAGGCCUACCAAGGCGACGAUCGGUAACUGGUCUGAUAGGAUGAUCAGUCACCCUGGAACUGGGACACGGUCCAGACUCCUGCGGGAGGCAGCAGUGGGGAAUAUUGGACAGUGGGGGGAAGCCUGGUCCAGCCAUGCCGCGUGUGUGGAGAAGGUCUUCGGAGUGUGAAGCACUUUAAGUUGGGAGGAAGGGCAGUAAGUUAAUACCUUGCUGUUUUGACGUUACCAGCAGAAGAAGCACCGGCUAACUUCGUG